GGGGAAGUAGCUCAGAGGUAGAGUGCUUGCCUAGUAAGCUUGAGGCUCUGGGUUCUAGCCCCAGCACCA
rfam:Ictidomys tridecemlineatus contig070545, whole genome shotgun sequence.